GUCUGCGUACGUGUGUCUAUGUUGUGAAAGUUUAGCGUUACUUCUCAUAGUUUUAUAAUUUUUCUUCCCAUCAAGAAACAUUCAUGUGAAGACUAUGAGAUCUGGUUUUUCAUUUAGAAUUUGACUUUUGUCCUUUUAUGUCCUAGAUCAAGGAAGAGUUCAGACUUAUCGACAGUUUCCUUGGAGGAGACAUUCAUGCUAAAGCUUGAUGAGAACACACCAGGUCUUCUGCAGCUUAGUGCUAAAGGAGGGGCUGCUGGUUCAAAGAUGCACCUUCUGCUGGACACUUUAAAUGACCCACAGAGCAUUGAGGAAAAAGGGAUACAGUUGUCUGCUGCCUCAUUAACUACUUUGGUGAAAGACAAGAAGAUCUUUUCCAUCAUUGCCAGGAAUGUGAGGACCACACAGACAAAACAAUGAUGGUGAUCGUGAUGCACAACAUCAUUGCUGAGGAGGAUCCAUCAGAUUGUGAUUGAGGGAAACCAAGUGAUGGAAGGAUGUGGAAGCCGAACAAAGACGUGUACUGCU